rfam:Naumovozyma castellii CBS 4309 chromosome 1, complete genome
GGGAGUGUGGUCUAGUGGUAUGAUACCCGCUUUGGGAGUUUCUUCUCGAAUAUGCGGGUGGCCCGGGGUUCAAUUCCCCGCUCUCCCC